GGCAAGUCCUAUUUUGAUCUAUCUUUGAAUAUGAUCUAUAGGAUNGNAUUAAAAUUGAAUAAAGCUUUGNUUAUAUAUUGAUAAUGACAGUAUAUAUAUACGUGUCUUGACUAAUUGCGUGCCAGCAGUCGCGGUNAUACGUANGAGACUAGUGUUAUUCAUCUUAAUUAGGUUUAAAGGGUACCUAGUACGGUCAAUAUAGCUUCUAAAAUGUUAGUACUUGACUAGAGNUUUAUGUAAGAGGGCAGUACUUGAGGAGGAGAGAUGAAAUUCUAUGAUACCAAAGGGACUCGGUAAAGGCGAAGGCAGCCCUCUAUGUGAAAACUGACGUUAACGGACGAAGGCACAGAGCACAAACAGGGAUUAGAUNCCCAAGUAGUCUNUGCAGUNCAUGANGAAUGCCAUAGGUUAGAUUAAGACUNAAUAUUAUAANCUAAAAUUAACUAUUAAACAUNNUUUAGUCUAUNAAUGAAAGUGNAAGCAUUUCACCUCAAGAGUAAUGUGGCAACGCAGGAACUGGAAUCACUAGACCGUUCCUGACACCAGUA
rnacentral:rRNA from 1 species